UACGUAGGGUGCGAGCGUUGUCCGGAAUUAUUGGGCGUAAAGAGCUCGUAGGCGGUGUGUUACGUCGGCCGUGAAAACCUGCAGCUUAACUGUGGGCGUGCGGUCGAUACGGGCAUCACUGGAGUUCGGCAGGGGAGACUGGAAUUCCUGGUGUAGCGGUGAAAUGCGCAGAUAUCAGGAGGAACACCGGUGGCGAAGGCGGGUCUCUGGGCCGAUACUGACGCUGAGGAGCGAAAGCGUGGGGGAGCAAACAGG
rnacentral:rRNA from 1 species